CUUCGGGCUUUACCGACUGGUCCCUGUAUUUAUCCCUAAUCUUGCCUUUGUCUGGAGAUCUAUUUUACCCAGUCUUUAAGAGUAAGUAUACGGUGCUGCCCUGGGAGCUUCAGUGGUCCCAGCCUUGCAGCUGGUGGGGGAGGCUGCCCAGUGGUGGCAGUGGUGUGUCCCUGGCCCGCUGGACUGUAGCUUCUUUACUGCCAAGUCAUCUGUUCAUCCAUCCGUGGAGGUCCACAAUGGCCACCUUCAGCCGCCAGGAAUUUUUCCAGCAGCUCCUGCAGGACUGUCUCCUGCCUACUGCCCAGCAGGGCCUUGACCAGAUCUGGCUGCUCCUUGCCAUCUGUCUUGGCUGCCGCCUCCUCUGGAGGCUCGGAUUGCCAUCCUACCUGAAGCACGCAAGUACUGUGGCAGGUGGGUUCUUCAGCCUCUACCACUUCUUCGAGCUGCACAUGGUCUGGGUCGUGCUGCUCAGCCUUCUGUGCUACCUCGCGCUCUUCCUCUGCCGACAUUCCUCCCAUCGCGGUGUCUUCAUCUCCGUCACCAUCCUCGCCUACCUGCUCGUGGGUGAGACGUACAUGGUGGACACUGUGGUGUGGCACAGGAUGCGAGGGGCCCAGAUGAUUGUGGCCAUGAAGGCGGUGUCUCUGGGCUUUGACUUGGAUCGGGGUGAGGUGAGCGUUGUGCCCUCACCCGUGGAGUUCAUGGGCUACCUCUGCUUUGUGGGCACCGUCAUCUUUGGGCCCUGGAUAUCCUUCCACAGGUACUUAGAGGCCGUCCAAGGCCGCCCACUGAGCUGCCGGUGGCUGCAGAAGGUGGCCCAGAGCCUGUUACUGGCCCUUCUGUGCCUGGUGCUGUCCACCUGUGUGGGCCCCUAUCUCUUCCCUUACUUCAUCCCCCUUGAUGGUGACCACCUCCUUCGCAAGUGGCUGCGAGCCUAUGAGAGUGCCAUCUCCUUCCGCUUGAGCAACUAUUUUGUGGGCUUUCUAUCCGAGGCCACAGCCACAUUGGCAGGGACCGGCUUCACCAAGGAGAAGGAUCACCUGGAAUGGGACCUGACCGUCUCUAAGCCACUGAACGUGGAGCUGCCCCGGUCCAUGGUGGAAGUUGUCACAAGCUGGAACCUGCCCAUGUCUUGCUGGCUGAAUAACUAUGUUUUCAAGAAUGCUCUCCACCUGGGGACCUUCUCAGCCGUGCUGGUCACCUAUACAGCCAGUGCCCUCCUGCACGGCUUUAGUUUCCACCUGGCUGCGGUGCUGCUGUCUCUGGCGUUUAUCACUUACGUGGAGCACAUCCUCCGAAAGUGCCUGGCUCGGAUCCUCAGUGCCUGCAUCUUGUCGAGAAGGUGCCCGCCAGACUGUUCACACCAGUAUCGUUCGGGCCUGGGGGUGCGAGCCUUAAACCUGCUCUUUGGGGCCCUGGCCAUCUUCCACCUGGCCUACCUGGGCUCCCUGUUUGAUGUUGAUGUGGACGACACCACAGAGGAGCAGGGCUACGGCAUGGCAUACACGGUCCACAAGUGGUCAGAGCUCAGCUGGGCCAGUCACUGGGUCACUUUUGGAUGCUGGAUCUUCUACUGUCUAAUAGGCUGAGACACAUCUGAGGCAGCUGCCUCAAGAGCCCUCCUCAGGGUGGUGGGGAUGAGGGAAGGCCCUCUCUAAUUUUUGAUCCUUCUCCAUUCUUCACACUGCCCCCCAUACCCCUACACACACACACACACACAUUCAUACACACACACAUCAUUUCCAUACCUUCCAAUCCCCACUUCCACCACAGGACGGGAAGGGAGUGGUCCCUGUUGCGGCCUAGGGGUGGGGAGAGCCUGGAGAACAGAGAACAGGAGAUCCAGGGCCUUCCUGCCUGUCUUGUCUCUUUGUGUAUACAGUUUGUUAUCAUCAAGUAAAUUUGGAAGUUAUUUUUUUUUUAAGAGUAAGCAUAGAAAGUCUCAUGUUCUCAUAAUGUUGAGGAAUUCUGAAGAGACUGAGACCCAGGUUUUGGUCCGUUUGGGGAAAGUUUUCCUUCAGUGGUUUUAAAUUGCGUCGGAUUACCACUGUGGGCUUAGUGGGGCACUUCAAAGUGGAGUAGAUGGUUCUAUUUAAUAUUUGCUCUGAAUCUUUGGCACAUUUUGGGGGGAGGGAGCCCAGUUUAAAAUAAAAUGUAUGAGCAGCAGUUUUGAAACAGCUGAAUGAGGAGCUUGGCAAGUUCUCCUUCCAAAAAAGCAAUUGUUAAACUUAACAAAAUUGUAAACAAACAAGCAAAAACCCAUUUACGGUCUCUGGAAAUUAACCAAAGGACAUAUAUUGAGAGGCAUUUAUUCGAACAAAGCUAGUGAAUUUCAGUAUAAACAGUGAUGAUCAUCUAGCACGUUAGGAGAUGCUCCCACCUCCUCCCUCAGCUCUGGUUCCUCAAGUUCCCUGGGCGUGCCAUGAGGACUGGCAGCUCUGUUGUCCUGUCAGAGGGAACUGAUUUUAUUUAGAGCAGCACUUGGAAAAACACAUGCCCAGGGCUGUUACGAAAACAAUAGCAGUCUCUGUGGCAGACAGAGACUCUGGGAAAGCUAAUGUUGCAGGGAACAAGAAAAUGGCAGACUGGCCAGAAAUUUAUCAGGGAAAUCUAGGGAAAGAGAUAGCUAAAGUGAGCCCUACUAUUCAUAUCACACUUAGCUCUUAGGGUCCAAAAGGCUGUGUACAUGUACAAGGCUACACCUGUUCAGGAGAGGACAGAGGACCCUUGAAAGCUACUGGCCCCUGACUGAAUGCAGAGUAGACUGAUAAACUUCCUACACUUUGAAAGUAUCCCUCCAAGUCACACACAGACCCCAUGGCAAAGGAUUUGAAAGCCUUCUGGCUCAAGGUGUUGAAGCAAAACCUCUGACCAGUCAUUGGCUGACCACUAAGUUAUGCUGACCUGGGACAGCCCCCUAGAAAGCAAAGCUUGAACAACAACAAAAAAUAAAAACAAGAACAACAACAACAAAAAAAGCAGUGACCUCAGAGUUUGGACACUGAUGGGGAAACAGACUCCAGAAAAUUAGGCAAGUCACUAAGUGGACAAACAGAAAACAGGCAACAUGAAGCUGUAGGCAGAAUUUCGAUUUGCUACUAAUUUGGAGUAUUUCAUUUAAAAUACCCAGUUUUUAAGGAAAUUAUAAGACAUGAAAAUAAGCACAAAAGUGUGACUGUUAUUCAGGGAAAAGCAAGCAAUAGAAACUUGGAGUGAGCUCAGUGGCAAAUGAUGGUUCCUAGUAACAAAAAGAGCAGCUUCUUUUUCAAUGUAUUCAAAGAACUAAAGGAAAAAUUCUUCCUUUUGCCAAUGACUCUUCAAAGAGAGGAUUAAUAAAGAGAUUUGAGACUUCC